UACAGAGGUCUCAAGCGUUGUUCGGAUUCAUUGGGCGUAAAGGGUGUGUAGGUGGCGCGCUAAGUCGGGUGUGAAAUUUCGGAGCUUAACUCCGAAACUGCAUUCGAUACUGGCGGGCUUGAAUCCGGGAGAGGGAUGCGGAAUUCCAGGUGUAGCGGUGAAAUGCGUAGAUAUCUGGAGGAACACCGGUGGCGAAGGCGGCAUCUGGACCGGCAUUGACGCUGAGGCGCGAAAGCUAGGGGAGCAACGGG
rnacentral:rRNA from 1 species